AAGGUGCACAAGCAAGGACCCUCAUGGAACCCAUUCCUGGUAGAGAAGACGGACAUACUGACAGUGUGACAUUAUCAUGGGAGGCGGGAUGCACAGGUGCAAAGGCACUAGGAUGGGGAAGAACAGAGAGCGUGGGGGAUCACAGAAUCACACAGCAUGUUCACCUCUGGGCGUGGAUUUGAUUUGGAUGGAACACGAGAAAUCCUGCAUAGUUAGCAGAGGAGAAACUCGAUGAGAUUCACAUCUGCUAAAGAAUCACAUCGAGGUCUCAGCACUCAGAAUAUGAUGCAGGAGGACACCAAAUUCAAGACCACCCUGGCGACAAACUAAGAUACUGACUGUGAUGAUUUGUAUAUGAUUGGCCCAGAAGUGUGGCCUUGUUGGAGUAGGUGUGUCACUGUGGGUGUGGGCUUAAGACCCUCACCCUAGUUGCCUGGAAGUCAGUCUUCUACCAGUGGCCUUCAGAUGAAGAUGUAGAACUCUCAGCUCCUCCUGCACCAUUCCUGCCUGGAUACUGCCAUGUUUCUGCCUUGAUGACAAUGGACUGAACCUCUGAGCCUGGCAUCCUGCAAUGCUCAUGGAACACCUGGCAUUGCCCUGGUUCUCUCUACUGCAAACCUUUACCUUUGAGGCACUGGCUUUCCAUGUUCACAUGGGUGUCCAUGGGCAGAAGCACGCUGGCACCUGCACACCACUGCUCUGCUAAAUCAUCAUUGUGUCUAGUGAUUGCUCCACAGACGUCUAGACUUUAUGUAUUUAGGAUCAUGACAUUGUUAAAGGAACUGUGUCAUGGUAAAAGCGUGUGAAGGAAGAACUGUGUUCAUCUCAUUGUGGCCAAGAAGAGAGGCUGGAAUUCUAACAUCUCCCUCAAGAGUGCACACCUCCAAUUGCCUAACUUCCUCCCGCUGGUCCCACCUCCUAAAAACUCUGCCACCUCCCAGUAGCACCAGAGGCUGAUGGCCAAGCCUUGCAUAGAUGGGCCUUGGGGGAUAUUCAAAUCCAAACAUUGUGUUCCUUCUUGCUUGCUUUCUGGUCUCUUAUGUGAGUCCUUCUGUGACAUGCUGGCUAAUUAGGAGUGUGAUUUGUAACUUCCAUACAGCUGUAUACUUUUCACUUUCUGCUAUUGAUAUCCAGAUUUCUUUCACUGUGGUCAGAAAAGACAGUGUGAUUCCUUUUUAUUUCUUCUUCUUCUUCUUUCUUCUUUUUAGACAGGGUUUCUCUUUGUAGUCCUGGGCUCUGGCUAUGUCCUGGAACUUGCUAUGUAGAUCAUGAUAGCCUCUAACUCAAAGAAGUCUACCUGCCUCUGCCUCCCCAUUGCUGGUAGUAAAGAGGUACCACAACAACUGGAAAUUUCAGUCUUCUUAAGCCCAUCGUCUUAGUUACUUUUCUAUGGCUGUGAAGAGACCUGACUACCAAGGCGACGUAUAGACUAGCUCACUGGAGUGGAAAGCUCCAGAGGGUGGGCCUGUGACUACA